ensembl:miRNA oni-mir-10927 oni-mir-10927
ACGGUACACAGAGCUGGUGUUUGUUGUAGUUUAAAACAGCAUCAUCAACUCUGUCACGUGA